rnacentral:lncRNA from 1 species
UCUCCGUGGAAACCCUUGGGGUAAACAUGUUGCUUGUUCUUCCAAUAAAGAAUUGAACCACCAGAGGGCCUCAGGCGACUCAGGAGGUUUGGGAAGAGACAAAGGCACAUGCUUAGAGGGUCUGGAGAAGGCGAGGAAGAAGGAAGGGAGCCAAGUAAAACAUGUGACUGACCAGGGGCUUUGGAGAAGACAAGCCCUGCAGGAAGGCACGCAUGUGGUCAUUCUGUCUGUAGCCUCCCAUUCCUCCCUGCUUUCCCCAGCUGCAUCUACCUGGAUCCUGAAUUUGAACCAAGUGGUCCAAACGGCCCGGUCACCUGAGCAACCCCUCUGCAGGAACCGCAGGGUCGGGCCACAGGGAGAGGAGCGAGGCCUUGAUGUCACAGAUCUGCUUUGAGGCCCAGCCUUUGGAUGUGCACUGCUGCCAGUUCUUGAUUAUUAAAUCCCAUUGUGGUGGAAGCAUUGUCUGGUAAUAUCCAGAAACUCCUCUUUCAUUAGAACUGGGAAUAAGCAGGGUGGCCAUGGGUGAAUUUCAGCCUCUGAUUUGUGGGUGGGAGCUGAGGGGCCACUGAGAGGCUGAGCAAAUCUUCGGGGUGCAUGGUCACUGUCACUAGAAAGCAACAAGGUCUAUGACCAGGGUGACUGGAAAGGAGGUAGAUUAAAUAAUCCCCUGAGGUUUUGGAGCAGUGUGCAAGGAAUUGGAUUUAGGGUAGCUUCCAGUCUCUUUUUUGGGGUCCUGUUUCUUGGAUUGUCACCUGCAAGUGGCCUUAUCCAG